GAUGAAGAACGCAGCGAAAUGCGAUAAGUAAUGUGAAUUGCAGAAUUCAGUGAAUCAUCGAAUCUUUGAACGCACAUUGCGCCCGCCAGUAUUCUGGCGGGCAUGCCUGUCCGAGCGUCAUUUCAACCAUCAAGCCCCGGGCUUGUGUUGGGGACCUGCGUCCGACGCAGGCCCUGAAAACCAGUGGCGGGCUCGCUGUCCACACCGAGCGUAGUAACUAACCUCGCUAUGGAGUGGCGCGGGCGCCUGCCGUAAAACCCCCAAUUUCACAAGGUUGACCUCGGAUCAGGUAGGAAUACCCGCUGAACUUAAGCAUAUCAAUAAGCGGAGG
rnacentral:misc_RNA from 1 species